rfam:Otolemur garnettii contig101045, whole genome shotgun sequence.
GUGGCCAUCUUACUGGGCAGCAUUGGAUGGUGUCUGGUCUCUAAUACUGCCUGGUAAUGAUGACGGC